ACUGCAGUGAAGGCACUUGUA
rnacentral:ncRNA from 2 species